GUGGAAGUGAGGGAUUAGUUACAACAACAGGCUGAGACACACUGCUUAAGGAAAAUGGACACAAUACACCCAGGACAGGACUGCAUGGACUAAGAGAGGGAGAAUGAGGUCUUGACCUUACCUCUCCUGUCACUGUCACUGACCAGCAGUGUUUUAAGACCAUGACCCACAAGACCAAUGGUUGGUCAUUGACCAGCACCAGGCCAUUGAUCCUAUCAAGUUCCAUCAGCAUACGCGUGCACCUGGCCUACUGGAACUCAUCCAUAGAAAUAUGCUACCGAAAUGUUUCUUGAUGUAUACUUGGUCAUUCUCUGUUGUAAAGGAGACCUUUUCCAGAUACGAGUUGUUUGUGGCAAACUAAAUCAAGCCAGUGAAGGCAGUGAACAGGAAUAAACAUUGGUUUCUUAGAUGAAAAAUUAAUGAUGAGGGACAAGAAUAAUGCGUUUUCCAAGUAAUUUAGCCUAAAAAUCUCUUCAUUUCAUUUUAAUCCCUGUAAUAUUAUGGAAUGAGUCAUCUUGUCUUUAAUCUGCAAAGGGAGAAAAAUAAAUCAUAGGUCAUAUUUAACUCCUACAACAUAUAUAUAUUUUUUUUGUUGUUGCUUUGUUUUUGUUACCAGUGUUAAAGUCGUCAUCUACUGGAAGCCCAAAUAGUUAGAUAAUGAUGCUAGCAAUGCAGAAUCAAUGUUAACUGCAAGGAAACUAUUAUCUGAGAUCUAAGAUAAGUACAGAUAGAAAUGAACUGUAUCUGUUCUGUGAACUGUAAAAGAAAGUAUUUGAACUGGAUUUCUUUCCGGAGAGGGUGUGAGCUGAAUUUAACAUUGCUCUGGUCGGUGACUUCAAUCCAGUCUGGGGCAUAUGUGGGUCAUUUUUCUCCCCAACUCCAGUUCAUGUUCACUGCAACGGUCGUUUAAUUGAAGCCACAGUUUUAUAUUUUAAAGUGAUUAUGUUCCCCCUCCUCUCUUGCAUUUUCCAUUGUGAAAUUCAGCCUGUGAAGUGAAAAAGGAGGCAUAAUGGAUGUGUGUGCUUAUCAGAAUGGUUUAUCAAAAUUAGAGUAAGCUAUUCACUGUAUAAUCACUGUUUAACAAUUCAUUUAAGAUAGUUAGGACAAUGUUCUGUUAAGAUGGAUAUUUUUUAUUUUACCGUUUUACGUUUGAGAGUGUGAUGGACGUUUCAUUUUUGUAUUUCAUACUGAACAAUACAAUUUUUUUGCACUGUUUAUCAAUACUUAAUGAAGGGUUUUACAAGAUUAUGUUUGUUAUCAUGCACAAUGGCAAUCCGUGUCGUGAGACUAGAAGCCUCACCCUUAGGAAACCUACUUACUUUCAGCUGCACACAACAGCGCAACAUCUCAACCCACAAAUCACGUCCCAUACCUCGAGCAUAAUGUUAGAUUAUACCAGAUCUGAAGCAUCGCUUUUAUUUCUUCUUAUGAUUGCUUUGCAUAUUCAUGGAAAUUGAUUCACAUCCUGUUUUGGUUUGUGC